rnacentral:lncRNA from 1 species
GCUAUUUUAGGAUUCUCUGCCCUGCAAACGUUUCCAAAGUGCGUGGACAGGCCGCCUGAUGACACUACGUUUACGGGAUCUGCUAGUGGCUUGCCUACUUAGGGAGUAAACCCUGUGAAGUCUCGCAGUUUUAUUAAAGUGUGCGUGGCCACCUGAAUGCUGCCUUAUCACAAGCCAGAUACAUACUGGUCUGCAGGGUAACUCCCCACUGUUGAUCCUCUGAGAUGAUUGUGGACUGGGUGCUGUGAGUCCUGCCACUUUGUUUAAGUGAAUGUGUCUUUUGUCCAGCUCAGCCGCCUCGGAUCUCGCUGCCACCAGCCUUACUGCACACCCGUGCCACCCGCCCUUGCCCCGUCAGCCUCAGCCUCAGCUCAUUCUCUCAGGCAGUCCCAGCAUUGGCACGGUACCUCCUCCCGCUGUGGGCCACACGUCUCUGCUCCCUGUCAACCCUACUGCCAUCAGCACCACCACCAGCGACUUGUCUGCCCAGGAGGAUGCAACACCAUCUGCCUCCACCGGCCACCUUUCAGUGUUUCCUGCUUUCCAAGUAAAGAUACCAGCAGUGCCCGCAGAGCAGACCAGCCAGAGAUUUUCUGAAGCCUCCCACAGGGUGCUCCCCGGAGGAGGCCCGAGAUGCUCUCGUGACUUUGGAGCCGGGGUGGCUGGCCACCUUGGCCUGGGCAUCUUUGGGAUGGGCUUCGGGAGCCCGGCACUGCUGCAGAGUGUGGUGGAUGAGAACAGCUGCUGCUUGCUGUACGUGGUGGAGGACCAGCUGUGUGAUGUGGAGCGAGCCUUCAGAGCUGAGCAUUUGGGCCAACACCAGAGUGGUUCGGGAACAGGAUGCAGACAUUGUCCUCAACGACCAGCGGCACUUUGAUCCGGUUUUCCAGUUCUUGCACAAGCAAGUUUUUGUCAGCCACGCCCUGGGGAGGAUCCACUGGAUCACCGCCGUCACAGCCUGUUCCCGGUGGCCUCUCCGGCUUCCCUAAAGAGAGCAGUAGCUUCCCUGGAGACCAGAAGCCAGAGCUCACCCUCCCUUGUGUCCAGGUGGGACUUUCUACAACGCUGCUAUGCACGACGCGGAUGCCGUAUGCAUGUUGCUGGGGGAAGCCACUCCGGACACUGUGUUUUCUCUGGGACAUGUCUUCUGCCCAGAUGAAAACUCAGCCUGUAAUCAGUCUGAUUGGUGUGAACAGCGACCAUUCAGAGGCUGGAGUGAGUGAAGUUACAAAGUUGCAAACGAAGACUUGACCCACAAUCAGUCUGAUUUGUUGCCGACAGCCAGUUUCCCAUCUGC